AAUUUUACCGGUCGCCAUUGCCAGAAGAACGGCUAUCAGUAGGCUACCAACGUCCAGAAGAGAGGACACCGGAUGGCUUAUGAAAGCAUUGUUUCGGACACAAGUAAAAGGAGAAGAAUGCUGCUCAGCUGGGUCGGUGAAGCUCUUGGAUAUCAUCAGCAUCUAUGAAGGCACCGGUAGGCACAGAGUCAUUCCGGUAGGCACGGAGUCGUUCCUCGAUGGACGUGAUGACCUGGCACCAAAACCGCUUAAUGUGUAUGACGCUGUCUGCAUCGAGGGAAGAACCCAGUACUGAAAUGACACAAGUAAAAGGAGAAGAAUGCUGCUCAGCUGGGUCGGCGGUCACACUACUUAUUCAAGAAGCUCUUGGAUAUCAUUGGCAUGCACAGAGUCAUUCCGGUAGGCACGGAGUCGUUCCACGAUGGACGUGAUGACCUGGCACCAAAACCGCUUAAUGUGUAUGAAGCUGUCUGCAUCGAGGGAAGAACCCAGCACUGAAGUGACACAAAUGAAAGAAGAGGACUUCUGCUCUGCUGGGUCUGCGACACUACUUAUCUGAGGAGUCCUCAAACAUCAGGAUGUAGGAAGUAAGAUCUUUUUUG